rnacentral:rRNA from 1 species
AGUGAACGCUGGCGGUAGGCCUAACACAUGCCAGUCGAACGGCAGCACAGUAAGAGCUUGCUCUUACGGGUGGCGAGUGGCGGACGGGUGAGGCAUACAUCGGAAUCUACUUUUUCGUGGGGGAUAACGUAGGGAAACUUACGCUAAUACCGCAUACGACCUACGGGUGAAAGCAGGGGAUCUUCGGACCUUGCGCGAUUGAAUGAGCCGAUGUCGGAUUAGCUAGUUGGCGGGGUAAAGGCCCACCAAGGCGACGAUCCGUAGCUGGUCUGAGAGGAUGAUCAGCCACACUGGAACUGAGACACGGUCCAGACUCCUACGGGAGGCAGCAGUGGGGAAUAUUGGACAAUGGGCGCAAGCCUGAUCCAGCCAUACCGCGUGGGUGAAGAAGGCCUUCGGGUUGUAAAGCCCUUUUGUUGGGAAAGAAAAGCAGCAGGUUAAUACCCCGCUGUUCUGACGGUACCCAAAGAAUAAGCACCGGCUAACUUCGUG